CUGUCGGGGGCUGCUCGCCAUGGUUGCCGAGCUAGCAACAGGGGGAACCUUCGGCCAGGGAGGAAAAAAAAUGGGGCGAGCUCUGCUGGAAUUUCUGGGCGCCGUCCAAGGAAGCUGCUGCCGCUGCUUUGCGUAGUAGCCCGGCCAGGGGAGGAAGAAGGGCUGAGGGCACGCAGGGAGGUGGAGGCGCCAUGGGAGGGGGCGAGCAGAGCUGCUGCUCAGCCAUGGGAGAGAGGGGGCGCUGGGGAAGCUGCUGCUCCCUGCGCUGAAUCGGAUCGGAGGGAAGCUCGGCGUGUGCUGCUGGAGAUGGUCGGCUGGAGCAGAGGGACCUGCGCCCAUGGAGCAGGGAGGGGCGCCGAGGGAGGUGCUUGCUGCUCGCUAGAAGGGGGCACCGACCAUGGAGAGGAAAGGAGUCGUGCUCCCUGUUGCUGGCGUGGGGAAUCCAGGGAGGAAGAUGGCGUGGGGAGGGAGAGAAAGGCUGUUGGCGGCUAUGGGUUUUCUAGGGGUGGGAGUGCAAAAAUGCCUCCACUUGCUAGGAGAGGGGUCCUAUUUAUAGAAGGGGCACUAGGGUUAGGGUUCUCUCAUGGGCCAAAUGGGCCAGGCUGGAAUGGGCUUGGCCCAAAACACGUACUCGGGUCGCGCUAA
rnacentral:misc_RNA from 1 species